CCUACGGGAGACAGCAGUGGGGAAUAUUGGGCAAUGGGCGCAAGCCUGACCCAGCAACGCCGCGUGAAGGAAGAAGGCUUUCGGGUUGUAAACUUCUUUUCUCAGGGACGAAGAAAGUGACGGUACCUGAGGGAUAAGCCACGGCUAACUACGUGCCAGCAGCCGCGGUAAUACGUAGGUGGCAAGCGUUAUCCGGAUUUAUUGGGUGUAAAGGGCGUGUAGGCGGGAGCGCAAGUCAGAUGUGAAAACUCAGGGCUCAACCCUGAGCCUGCAUUUGAAACUGUGUUUCUUGAGUGCUGGAGAGGCAAUCGGAAUUCCGUGUGUAGCGGUGAAAUGCGUAGAUAUACGGAGGAACACCAGUGGCGAAGGCGGAUUGCUGGACAGUAACUGACGCUGAGGCGCGAAAGCGUGGGGAGCAAACAGGAUUAGAUACCCCAGUAGUC
rnacentral:rRNA from 1 species